GACGAACGCUGGCGGCGUGCUUAACACAUGCAAGUCGAACGAUGAAGCCUAGCUUGCUAGGUGGAUUAGUGGCGAACGGGUGAGUAAUACGUGAGUAACCUACCUUUAACUCUGGGAUAAGCCUGGGAAACUGGGUCUAAUACCGGAUACGACCAAUCUCCGCAUGGGGUGUUGGUGGAAAGCGUUAUGUAGUGGUUAUAGAUGGGCUCACGGCCUAUCAGCUUGUUGGUGAGGUAACGGCUCACCAAGGCGACGACGGGUAGCCGGCCUGAGAGGGUGACCGGCCACACUGGGACUGAGACACGGCCCAGACUCCUACGGGAGGCAGCAGUGGGGAAUAUUGCACAAUGGGCGCAGGCCUGAUGCAGCGACGCCGCGUGAGGGAUGACGGCCUUCGGGUUGUAAACCUCUGUUAGCAGGGAAGAAGAGAAAUUGACGGUACCUGCAGAGAAAGCGCCGGCUAACUACGUGCCAGCAGCCGCGGUAAUACGUAGGGCGCGAGCGUUGUCCGGAAUUAUUGGGCGUAAAGAGCUUGUAGGCGGUUUGUCGCGUCUGCUGUGAAAGGCCGGGGCUUAACCCCGUGUAUUGCAGUGGGUACGGGCAGACUAGAGUGCAGUAGGGGAGACUGGAACUCCUGGUGUAGCGGUGGAAUGCGCAGAUAUCAGGAAGAACACCGAUGGCGAAGGCAGGUCUCUGGGCUGUAACUGACGCUGAGAAGCGAAAGCAUGGGGAGCGAACAGG
rnacentral:rRNA from 1 species